ensembl:lncRNA
CACCUCACAUAUCCAAAGUGCAUUUCCACGCUGCUGUCUGUCUUGCAAACUGAAAUACUCAAAGACUCCAUCCAUGACUGAGAUUCAACCCCCUCUUACAGGAAGGCUCUUGAUCGCCAUCAGAAUAAGGGGUCCUCAUCCAUCGUGAGUGUAGUUGAACCAAUAGAAUGUUCUGCUUGAUAAUUAUUGCUCUCUAUUUCUUAACAGCCUUUCUUCAAUUUUCAUCCUCAGGUGCAGAAAAUAAAAAAAAAAUUCAAUUACUACAGUUCUAUGCUUUACUUAAUAAUUAAUCGCCCAUCCCAUCACACUAUGAAUAUUUACAUGCAAAGCGUCCCUGGGAGCCAUCCAUAUGCCAGAGGGAGGGAAGUCUGUGUGUUUAUAGCAUUAAACGCUCAAAUAUCGUCACAAACCCCAUUUCGCCUCCAACCAUGAAAAACACUCACUAAAGCAUUGCAAGCAUUUUAUUUGGUGUUGCACAAUGUAACCUAUUCAAGUCCCAUUUAGACGUGGAGAGUCAGACUACAGGUACUCUCUCUAUGCUGAGCAGGAAAAUGCAGGUGGAUGCCCCACUGGUUGCUUGGAUCACUGACUAUUUAACAAGUCGACCACAGCAUGUUCGGCUGAAGAGCUGCCGCUCGGAUAACAGGGGCGCCGCAGGUGACUGUCCUAUUACCCUUCCUCUUCACCCUCUACACAUCUGACUUCAGGUACAAGUCUCAGUGAUGUCAUCUGCAGAAAUUCUCUGAUGACUCUGCCAUUGUGGGCUGU